rnacentral:rRNA from 1 species
CGCCUCUUGAUAGCAUAAGAGGUCCUGCCUGCCCGGUGAUAAUAUUUAACGGCCGCGGUACCCUAACCGCGCGAAGGUAGCAUAAUCACUUGUUCUUUAAAUAGGGACUCGUAUCAACGGCAUCACGAGGGUUGCACUGUCUCCCCCCUCCAAUCAGUGAAACUGAUCUCCCCAUGAAAAAGCGGGGAUAAUAAUAUAAGACGAGAAGACCCCAUGGAGCUUUAAACCCAAUAGCAAAUUAGCAAGAUUUACUCCAAGCCACAAAAUUAUGCUAACGGCUUUAGGUUGGGGCGACCACGGAGUAAAAACCAACCUCCACAACGAAAAGACUUAAAUCUUUACCCAAGAGCUACAACUCCAAGAAUUAGAAAACUAACGAAUUGACCCGAUACCGAUCAAUGAACCAAGUUACCCUGGGGAUAACAGCGCAAUCUACUUCGAGAGUUCAUAUCGACAAGUAGGCUUACGACCUCGAUGUUGGAUCAGGGUAUCCCAGUGGUGCAGCCGCUACUAAAGGUUCGUUUGUUCAACGAUUAAAACCCU